GGCUCCAUGGUGUAGCAGUUAUCACGUCUGCAUUUACAUGCAGAAGGUCCUGGGUUCACACCCCAGGUGGAGCCA
rnacentral:tRNA from 1 species